CACCGCCCGUCACGUCAUGGAAGUGGAUGGUACCAGAAGCGGGUAGUUUAACCCUGGGUUAAACCAGGGAGGGCGCUUGCCACGGUAUGAUUCAUGACUGGGACG
rnacentral:rRNA from 1 species